rnacentral:tRNA from 1 species
GGGCGGUUAGCUCAGUGGGAGAGCGUCUGCCUUACAAGCAGAGGGUCACUGGUUCAAAUCCGGUACCGCCCACCA